GGAGGGAUGGCCGAGUGGUCGAAGGCGCACGCCUGGAAAGUGUGUAAACCCCAAAAGGGUUUCGUGGGUUCGAAUCCCACUCUCUCCG
rnacentral:tRNA from 1 species